AAAGUGGCUGAGGCCAUGAACAUGGAUGGACCUGCGGUGCAUUAGCUAGUUGGUGAGGUAACGGCCCACCAAGGCGACGAUCAGUAGCCGACCUGAGAGGUUGAUCGGCCACAUUGGGACUGAGACACGGCCCAAACUCCUACGGGAGGCAGCAGUAGGGAAUCUUCCACAAUGGACGAAAGUCUGAUGGAGCAACGCCGCGUGAAUGAAGAAGGCCUUCGGGUCGUAAAAUUCUGUUGUCAGAGAAGAACGUGCGUGAGAGUAACUGUUCACGUAUUGACGGUAUCUGACCAGAAAGCCACGGCUAACUACGUGCCAGCAGCCGCGGUAAUACGUAGGUGGCGAGCGUUGUCCGGAUUUAUUGGGCGUAAAGGGAACGCAGGCGGUCUUUUAAGUCUGAUGUGAAAGCCUUCGGCUUAACCGAAGUAGUGCAUUGGAAACUGGAAGACUUGAGUGCAGAAGAGGAGAGUGGAACUCCAUAUGUAGCGGUGAAAUGCGUAGAUAUAUGGAAGAACACCAGUGGCGAAAGCGGCUCUCUGGUCUGUAACUGACGCUGAGGUUCGAAAGCGUGGGUAGCAAACAGGAUUAGAUACCCUGGUAGUCCACGCCGUAAACGAUGAGUGCUAAGUGUUGGAGGG
rnacentral:rRNA from 1 species